CCUACGGGUGGCAGCAGUGAGGAAUAUUGGUCAAUGGGCGCGAGCCUGAACCAGCCAAGUAGCGUGAAGGAUGACUGCCCUACGGGUUGUAAACUUCUUUUAUAAAGGAAUAAAGUGCGGCACGUGUGCCUUUUUGUAUGUACUUUAUGAAUAAGGAUCGGCUAACUCCGUGACAGCAGCCGCGGUAAUACGGAGGUUCCGAGCGUUAUCCGGGUUUAUGGGGUUUAAAGGGAGCGUAGAUGGGUUGUUAAGUCAGGUGUGAAAGUUUGCGGCUCAACCGUGAAAUUGAAAUUGUUACGGGGUGGUUGGAGUACAGGAGGGGGAGGCGGAAUGCGUGGUGGAGCGGGGAAAUGCGUAGAUAUCAGGAAGAACACCGGUGGCGAAGGCGGUCUGCAAAACUGCAACUGACGUGGAGGCCAGAAAGUGUGGGGAGCAAACAGGAUUAGAUACCUGAGUAGUC
rnacentral:rRNA from 1 species